AAUUUUAUUUGAAUUUAUUUUUUAAACAUGUUAUAUAUGUAUAAUAUAAAAGGUGAAAAGUUCGAUAAAUCAAUAUAUUUUCCAGUGUCGUAAAAAUGUGUUGUAAAUUUGUAUUAUGUAAACAAGCAACAAUAUUAAAACUUAUAAAAACAACACAUAGACUUAUUCGGUUUCCCAGGGACGUUUAACGUCUACGACAAAAAUUACACAACCAAUUUGAUUGUUUUUUUUAUCGAACAAUUCAAAUCGAGCUUUGUAAAUUCCGUAAAAAUAUUGUUUUGGUAUAUUGGCAUUUGCGAUGAAACUUGUAAAAUCAAAACCAUUUGAUACAUA